rnacentral:rRNA from 1 species
GGGGAAUAUUGCACAAUGGGGGAAACCCUGAUGAAGCCAUGCCGCGUGUGUGAAGAAGGCCUUGGGGUUGUAAAGCACUUUCAGUCAGGAGGAAGGUGGUGGAGCUAAUAUCUGAACCAAUUGACGUUACUGCAAGGCAAGGCACCGGGUAACUCCGGCGCAGCAGCCGCGGUAAUACGGAGGGUGCGAGCGUUAUUCGGAAUUACUGGGCGUAAAGCGUGCGCAGGCGGUUUGUUAAGCGAGAUGUGAAAGCCCCGGGCUCAACCUGAGAUGGUCAUUUCGAACUGGCAAGCUAGAGUCUCGUAGAGGGGGGUAGAAUUCCAGGUGUAGCGGUGAAAUGCGUAGAGAUCUAGAGGACUACCGGUGGCGACGGCGGCCCCCUGGGCGAAGACUGACGCUCAGGCACGAAAGCGUGGGGAGCAAACA